rnacentral:rRNA from 1 species
AGCAGCCGCGGUAAUUCCAGCUCCAAUAGCGUAUAUUAAAGUUGUUGCAGUUAAAAAGCUCGUAGUUGAAUUUCGGGACCAAUAUGUCGGUCGUGCCUCGGUACGUACUGGUGUCACUGGUUUCUCCCUUCUGAGGAUCCUUGAUGUCAUUAAUUUGGUGUCUUGGGGAAUCAGGACUGUUACCUUGGAAAAAUUAGAGUGUUUAAAGCAGGCAUACGCUUGAAUACAUUAGCAUGGAAUAAUGAAAUAGGACGUUCGAUUCUAUUUUGUUGGUUUCUAGGAUCGACGUAAUGAUUAAUAGGGAUAGUUGGGGGCAUUAGUAUUCAAUUGUCAGAGGUGAAAUUCUUGGAUUUAUUGAAGACUAACUACUGCGAAAGCAUUUGCCAAGGAUGUUUUCAUUAAUCAAGAACGAAAGUUAGGGGAUCGAAGACGAUCAGAUACCGUCGUAGUCUUAACCAUAAACUAUGCCGACUAGGGAUCGGAUGAUGUUAAUUUUUAAUGACUCAUUCGGCGCCUUAAC